AUUGAACGCUGGCGGCAGGCCUAACACAUGCAAGUCGAGCGAGCGGCGGACGGGUGAGUAAUGUCUGGGAAACUGCCUGAUGGAGGGGGAUAACUACUGGAAACGGUAGCUAAUACCGCAUACCAUCAGAUUGGCACAGAUGGGAUUAGCUAGUAGGUGGGGUAACGGCUCACCUAGGCGCCGAGCCCUAGCUGGUCUGAGCGGCUGACCAGCCACACGCGAACGUAGACACGGUCCAGACUCCUACGGGAGGCAGCAGUGGGGAAUAUUGCACAAUGGGCGCAAGCCUGAUGCAGCCAUGCCGCGUGUGUGAAGAAGGCCUUCUGGUUGUAAAGCACUUUCAGCGGGGAGGCGUUACCCGCAGAAGAAGCACCGGCUAACUCCGUGCCAGCAGCCGCGGUAAUUC
rnacentral:rRNA from 1 species